rnacentral:rRNA from 1 species
CAUGUCUUUUUGUUUAAUAAUUUAAGGUUUAAUCUGCUCAAUGAUAAUUUAAAUAGCCGCAGUAUAUUAACUGUGCAAAGGUAGCAUAAUAGUUAGUUCUUUAAUUAGGAGCUUGUAUGAAAGAUUGGACGAGAAAAGUUCUGUCUCAAUUUAAUUAGUUUUUGAAUUUUAUUUUUAAGUUAAAAAGCUUAAAUUUUUAUAAAAGACGAGAAGACCCUAUAGAGUUUUAUAUUUUAUGAUAUUUUUAAUUUUUUAAAGUAUUUGGUUGGGGUGAUUCGUGGAUUUAAUAAAUUCUUUGUUUUUAAUUAAUGAUUUUUAAUUUUUUUAAGUAUUAUUUUAAAUUAAAAUUUAAUUACCUUAGGGAUAACAGCGUUAUUUUUCUUAAAAGUUCUUAUUUAAAGGAAAGUUUGCGACCUCGAUGUUGGAUUAAAAUUAAUUUUUGGUGCAGUUGCUUAAAAAUUAGGUCUGUUCGACCUUUAAAAUU